GACCCCUUAGCUCAGUGGUAGAGCGUCGCAUUCCAGCUCCAAUCUUGAGUCUGUGCAUCGCGAAGGCCGUCCGUUCAAUCCGGGCAGGGGUCA